rnacentral:rRNA from 1 species
GGUCAAGCGAACAAGUGCAUGUGGUGGAUGCCUUGGCGAUCACAGGCGAUGAAGGACGCGGUAGCCUGCGAAAAGCUACGGGGAGCUGGCAAACGAGCUUUGAUCCGUAGAUGUCCGAAUGGGGAAACCCGGCCCUUUUGGGUCAUCCUAGACUGAAUACAUAGGUCUAGUGAAGCGAACGCGGUGAACUGAAACAUCUAAGUAACCGCAGGAAAAGAAAUCAACCGAGAUUCCCAAAGUAGUGGCGAGCGAAAUGGGAUGAGCCUUGCACUCUUUAUUUGUAUUGUUAGCCGAACGCUCUGGAAAGUGCGGCCAUAGCAGGUGAUAGCCCUGUAGGCGAAAACAGUAUGAAAGAACUAGGUGUGCGACAAGUAGGGCGGGACACGUGAAAUCCUGUCUGAAGAUGGGGGGACCAUCCUCCAAGGCUAAAUACUCGUGAUCGACCGAUAGUGAACCAGUACCGUGAGGGAAAGGCGAAAAGAACCCCGGGAGGGGAGUGAAAUAGAUCCUGAAACCGCAUGCAUACAAACAGUCGGAGCCUCGUAAGGGGUGACGGCGUACCUUUUGUAUAAUGGGUCAGCGACUUACGUUCAGUAGCAAGCUUAACCGUAUAGGGCAGGCGUAGCGAAAGCGAGUCCGAAUAGGGCGUUCAGUUGCUGGGCGUAGACCCGAAACCAGGUGAUCUAUCCAUGGCCAGGAUGAAGGUGCGGUAACACGUACUGGAGGUCCGAACCCACUAACGUUGAAAAGUUAGGGGAUGAGCUGUGGAUAGGGGUGAAAGGCUAAACAAACCUGGAAAUAGCUGGUUCUCUCCGAAAACUAUUUAGGUAGUGCCUCGUGUCUCACCUUCGGGGGUAGAGCACUGUCAUGGUUGGGGGGUCUAUUGCAGAUUACCCCGCCAUAGCAAACUCCGAAUACCGAAGAGUGCAAUCACGGGAGACAGACAUCGGGUGCUAACGUCCGGUGUCAAGAGGGAAACAACCCAGACCGCCAGCUAAGGUCCCCAAAUAUAGCUAAGUGGGAAACGAAGUGGGAAGGCUAAAACAGUCAGGAGGUUGGCUUAGAAGCAGCCACCCUUUAAAGAAAGCGUAAUAGCUCACUGAUCGAGUCGUCCUGCGCGGAAGAUGUAACGGGGCUAAGCUAUAUACCGAAGCUGCGGAUGCGAGCUUGCUCGCAUGGUAGGAGAGCGUUCCGUAAGCCUGCGAAGGUGCCUUGUAAAGGGUGCUGGAGGUAUCGGAAGUGCGAAUGCUGACAUGAGUAGCGAUAAAGGGGGUGAAAGGCCCCCUCGCCGUAAGCCCAAGGUUUCCUACGCAACGUUCAUCGGCGUAGGGUGAGUCGGCCCCUAAGGCGAGGCAGAAAUGCGUAGCUGAUGGGAAGCAGGUCAAUAUUCCUGCACCAUUGUUAGAUGCGAUGGGGGGACGGAUCGCGGAAGGUUGUCCGGGUGUUGGAAGUCCCGGUCGCUGCAUUGGAGAAGGCGCUUAGGCAAAUCCGGGCGCAGGAUUCAAGGGUGUGGCGCGAGCUCCUUAGGGAGCGAAGCAAUUGGAAGUGGUUCCAAGAAAAGCCUCUAAGCUUCAGUCUAACGAUGACCGUACCGCAAACCGACACAGGUGGGCGAGAUGAGUAUUCUAAGGCGCUUGAGAGAACUCGGGAGAAGGAACUCGGCAAAUUGGUACCGUAACUUCGGGAUAAGGUACGCCCUUGUAGCUUGACUGGCCUGCGCCAGGAGGGUGAAGGGGUUGCAAUAAACUGGUGGCUGCGACUGUUUAAUAAAAACACAGCACUCUGCAAACACGAAAGUGGACGUAUAGGGUGUGACGCCUGCCCGGUGCCGGAAGAUUAAAUGAUGGGGUGCAAGCUCUUGAUUGAAGUCCCGGUAAACGGCGGCCGUAACUAUAACGGUCCUAAGGUAGCGAAAUUCCUUGUCGGGUAAGUUCCGACCUGCACGAAUGGCGUAACGAUGGCCACACUGUCUCCUCCCGAGACUCAGCGAAGUUGAAGUGUUUGUGAUGAUGCAAUCUACCCGCGGCUAGACGGAAAGACCCCAUGAACCUUUACUGUAGCUUUGCAUUGGACUUUGAACCGAUCUGUGUAGGAUAGGUGGGAGGCUAUGAAACCGGAACGCUAGUUUCGGUGGAGCCGUCCUUGAAAUACCACCCUGGUUUGUUUGAGGUUCUAACCUUGGCCCGUGAUCCGGGUCGGGGACAGUGCAUGGUAGGCAGUUUGACUGGGGCGGUCUCCUCCCAAAGCGUAACGGAGGAGUACGAAGGUACGCUAGGUACGGUCGGAAAUCGUGCUGAUAGUGCAAUGGCAUAAGCGUGCUUAACUGCGAGACCGACAAGUCGAGCAGGUGCGAAAGCAGGUCAUAGUGAUCCGGUGGUUCUGUAUGGAAGGGCCAUCGCUCAACGGAUAAAAGGUACUCUGGGGAUAACAGGCUGAUACCGCCCAAGAGUUCAUAUCGACGGCGGUGUUUGGCACCUCGAUGUCGGCUCAUCUCAUCCUGGGGCUGUAGCCGGUCCCAAGGGUAUGGCUGUUCGCCAUUUAAAGAGGUACGUGAGCUGGGUUUAAAACGUCGUGAGACAGUUUGGUCCCUAUCUGCCGUGGGCGUUGGAUAUUUGAAGGGGGCUGCUCCUAGUACGAGAGGACCGGAGUGGACGAACCUCUGGUGUACCGGUUGUCACGCCAGUGGCAUCGCCGGGUAGCUAUGUUCGGAAGAGAUAACCGCUGAAAGCAUCUAAGCGGGAAACUCGCCUUAAGAUGAGAUAUCCCUGGGGACUAGAUCCCCUUGAAGGGUCGUUCGAGACCAGGACGUUGAUAGGUCAGGUGUGUAAGCGCAGUAAUGCGUUCAGCUAACUGAUACUAAUUGCCCGUAAGGCUUGAUCCU